rnacentral:rRNA from 1 species
GACGAACGCUGGCGGCGUGCUAAACACAUGCAAGUCGAGCGAUGAAGUUUUUUCGGAAAUGGAUUAGCGGCGAACGGGUGAGGAACACGUGAAGAAUCUGCCCUCCACUUUGGGAUAACACAGGGAAACCUGUGCUAAUACCGAAUAUUGAAACAUAAGUGGCAUCACUGAGUUUUGAAAGAAUUUCGGUGGAGGAUGACUUCGCGGCCGAUCAGCUAGUUGGGGAGGUAAUGGCUCACCAAGGCAACGACGGGUAGCCGGCCUGAGAGGGCGACCGGCCACACUGGGACUGAGACACGGCCCAGACUCCUACGGGAGGCAGCAGUGGGGAAUAUUGGGCAAUGGAGGAAACUCUGACCCAGCGACGCCGCGUGCGGGAUGAAGGCCUUCGGGUUGUAAACCGCUUUCAGUAGGGAAGAAGCGAAAGUGACGGUACCUACAAAAGAAGCACCGGCUAACUAUGUGCCAGCCGCCGCCGUAA